ACAGAAGUAGGGGCUGAGGCCCAGGGAGCCCUGCUUUGGCCCGCACUCCGUUGGGAGGGUCCCAGGGAUUGUCCCUUUCCCUCUGGCUGGACCCGAAGAGCCUGGAAACCCAGUGAGCUGUGUGCGGUUCCCUCCCGGUCCGCCCCCCCCAAUUCCGGGUGUCACGCCUGCGGCUGAGGGCGAGGGGCCCAGAGGUCUGCCCCAGGGUCAGGGUCGGGGGAACGGGGGUGGGGGGAGAGGCAGCUUGCGGCCCAGCUGCUCCUGGGUCGCUGUGCUUGCCAGCACUGACCCUCUACGGGGCCUGGGGUGUCCUGGAGGUCGCUGCGUUCGGGCCGCUCUCCCUCUGCCUUGGGACGUCUGCCGGAAGCCGGCGGUUGGCUGUGGCCAGAUCCAGGAGGGGCCGACGUUUGAGGACCUCUCCCUCAGGCCUGUCCGCCUGCAUGAUUUGCUUUCAGCUCUAACUCACCUGCCGUCAAGUUCACCCUUGCAAAGUGUACGAUUCAGUGGGUGUUAGCCGAGGCACAACGUUGUCCAGCCGUCACCAGCUGGACGUUUUUGUCACCCCAGGGACACCCGCACUCAUUAGCAGUCACUCCCCAGCCCCGGGAACCGCGAAUCUGCUGUCUCUGCAGAUCUGUUCCUUCUGGACGUUCUGUACGAAUGGACUCGUUCGAUACGCGGCCUCCGUGUCUAGAUCCUUUGAGGUCGCGUAAUGUUUUCAAAUUCAUCCAUUUUACAGGGGGAGGCAGCUGAGACUUGGAAAAGUCCAGGCUGCUUGUCCUGUGAGCUACAGAGCUGGGGUCGGGACCAACCGGGGGGGGGGGGGGUGUCACGUUCCACCGUCCACUUUCUUUCUAGUGCACACUCCCGAGUGGCCAAGGGGGUGUGACCCCAUCCACCCAGCCCCAGGACGAGGAUGCACCUGCUGCCUCCUCCGCCCUGGUUGCACGUGUAGACUCUGACCCAGUAAUUGGGGCACCAGCGUCUCCUACACGGGCCUUCCGACCAGCUACACACCCUGCCACACACCGUGGGUCCGGUGGCCACAGAACCCCCCUGGACAAGGGCCUCAGAACCAGGACAAGGUGCUGCGGCAGAAGGGCCCCACAGCCAGCGAUGUGAUCCUCAUAGGACUGUCACCUCAACCAUCACCAUGCAAGGACACGACGCUGUCAGAGAAAUGCCGGCUGGGCCGUCACCCUCUGAUGUCCCCCCCGAUGGAGGUUGCUAACCCAGGAAAACCGCCUUGGUGCCUUGUUCAGCCUCGGCGUCCUCCCUCCGGUGGGUCAGCACCCACUCCUUCCUUCCGCCUCCUGGGCCUCAGUUUCCAUCCUCUGGCUCUCCUCCAAAACAAAGCCAAGGACAGCCCCUCCCCCUGCCCCGGGAUGGCCGUGAGGGUGAGUGGCAAUGGACUCGAAGAGCUGGCGGCACCGAGCCUGGCCUGUCACCGGUCCCGGGCCGCGGUGACACCUACGCGUGAGCAUGGAGACCCUCUUGUCUAAUACUAGCUGCGGCCGAGACCGAGUGCUGUUUCGGGGGUACAGUGAUUGGCUCUCUGCCCUGAGGGGCGCGGGGGGAGCACCUUGCCGCUGGGUCAGGUGCCCCCAGGCAGUCGGGCAGGGACACCAGCCCUGGGUGCCGCCGGUCCCCUGAGGACCUGCCCCCCUUCCCCACAGGACCGCCCCCGCACGCCUCCGGCGGGAGGUUCGGGAUUUGAACUGGGCACAGCAAGAAUGUCGUCGGCCAUCGAAUGCAGGUGGUGAAGGUCUCCAUUUGGGCAGGUGAGUUGAUUGGGGUUUUUUGGGGGGGGUGCGGUUAAUUGAGGUGAAAUUUAUAUAACAUGAAAUUAACCAUCUUCACGGGUGCGAUUCAGGGUCGAUCGGUGUUGUGUAACCACCGUUCGUUCCAAAUGACCCUCGUCUCCCCAAAACGAAAGCCCACCCCCCUCAGCAGUCGCUCCCUCCUCCCUCUCCCCCAGCCCCUGAGAGCCGCUCAUAUGCUUUCCAUCUCUAUUGACUUAACCGUCGCAGGCAUCUUGUCAUGUGAGUGGGAUCACGCGCUGUGUCACUUUGUGACUUGCUUCCUUCACGCGGCGUCCCGUUUGCAAGGGCCAGUCGUGUUUGGCACGGGUCGGUGUUUCCGUCUUUUUUUUGUGCCUGGAUAAUACUCCGUUGUGCGGCCGGACCUCGUUUUGUUUGAUCCGUUAUCAAAGGGUGUCGUUUCCGCCUUCUGGGCCGCUGUGAAUAAGCCACUGUGAACAUUCGGGCACAAGUAUUUGCUUAAGUGCAUCUCUGCUGUGUUUUGGGGCACAGCGUGUGCCUGGGAACGGAACGGCCGGGCCCUACAGUAACGGUCGUUACGCGAGGAACCUGACUGAGGUCUUGCGGGGCCGACCCGGGGCCGUUCCUCCCCAGCUGUCUGGGCCGUGUGGCACCGGAGUUCGGGCACGGGAUGGGGGCCGGCAGCGCUGGGUCUGGAACCAGGUGGCGGCAUUUGCUUGCUGUGCGACCUCUGGUGAGUUGCUUGGCCUCUCUGUGUCCUCCCCGGGAACCUGCGGCUCCCAGGGUGGCACAGGCAGCCUGCGUGCCUGGAGGUGACGUGUAAGUUGUGGGAGCUCUGAUGCCUUUUAGGGUGGAAAUCUGUCCUCCUCGGAGCCUGCUCCCACCCCCUCAGCAUCCAGGGAGGCUCCGAGAGCUCGUGGGCUGCCGUCAGCAGAGAUGAGCCAAGAGCUAGGGCCAGCGGGCAUCAUGGGUAGCACAGUGUAACCCGCCCAGCUCCCGGGGAUCCUCGGCUGCACCCCAGAGAGCCUCAGCCCUCUGAGAAUAUUUUUUUAAAUGUUUUCGACAGGGUGAGCACGAGUGGGAGAGGGGCAGAGAGAGGGAG